CACCUAUAACUAUCUUUAAUUUUUUUUGUUGUUUUUAAAAACUAUUUAUAUAAAUAUUAUAUUCAUUUUAUAGGUAAUUAUAAACCAUGAGUUAUAAUACAUUUUAAAUAUUAAAAAAACUAAAAAGAAUUAUAAAGAAUGACUAACCAAUCAUAUGAGAAAAGAGAUUGAUGAUAGCUUCCCCUCACCCUUUCCGAGCACCCCUUUCCCGCAGUCGAUAUAUGAUAUUCUGGGCUGCGGUUCCCAUUCUUGCUUCAUACCCACACGUCUUAAAAAAAUUAUAUAAAAAAAAUUAAAAAAAAAGCCGGAAAAAAACACUCGGUCUAGAUUAAACAAAUCCCCAAAUGUUUUACUGACAUUCUAAAUCCGGAUUCCGGACAGAUAAACUACUGGUCACUCGGAGGGCAAGCCCAAGUGAAGAUGGGGAAGUUUCUCUGCAUAAUUCUUCAUGUAUUUGGGAAAUCUAAAAGGAAGUUUGUAUGUAACUUGUUUGAAGAAGAUAGAAUCAGUAACUUGCCAGAACACUUGAUGGACUAAAUCUUAGAGCGGGUCCUGCUUGAAGAGGCAGUAAGGACAAGCGUUUUAUCAAAAAGUUGGAGGUACAGAUGGACCAGAAUGGGGGCGCUGGUUUUUGAUGAGCAGUUCUCCAAAAAAGUUGCAAAAAUGAAGCUUUUGGUCGUAAUGGGUUUAUAAGGAUCAUGAACCAAAUCUUGUGCCUUCACAAGGGUCCUAUCUUGAAAUUUCAUCACCAUAUACCAAACACAUCUCUUGAUAGCUUCCAAGAAGUCGCUCAAUUCAUGCUACUCCUAUCAAGAAACAGUGUUAGGGAACUCAUCCUAACUAAUUUAAAUCAACGUUAUGAACUUCCUUUGUAUUUGUUUUCUUGUCUAGAACUAAGCAAUUUGAGACUGGAGAACUGUUAUAUCAGGCAACCACUUGAGGUUGAAAGAUUUCUUCAUCUUGAAAAACUUUAUCUCCAGAAUAUUGAUUUUGGGGCUAACUUGUGUGGAACUCAAAUCAAUUUACCACAACUUAAGAAGUUGUCUCUGCAUAAGUGCACAAAUGUUUACAAUUUCAACAUUAAGGCUACAAAAGUGCAGGAUGUGAUGGUCUGUGCUUGUCCUGAUGCCAUGUUGCUCUGGUUAUUGGACAGUCCAUGCCUUUUUAAGGCUGUGAUUGCUCCCAGGAAACCAGUUCAAGAUUUUGUACGAGUGGAAAAAAUGAAUUUGGCUACAAUGUUGAGUAACUUGCCCAGAGUUGAAUGGUUUUGAAUGGUUUUAUAUGGACAAUCAUUUUGUUAAGUUUUUGGUUGCGGAAAAGAAUCCAAAAUUGCUUCCAUGUCCGAUUAGUAGUUUAAAGCAUUUGGGGUUGCAUGGUUUUCAAGUUGGUGAUUUAGAACAGCUUCAUGGUGCUCUUUGCUUGCUUCGAAACUCACCGAAUCUAGAAACCUUGUAUAUAAUGCACAUGAAAGUGGAUCCUUGAGUUGAUGUGGGAGCAGCUUCAAAUCAUUUGGAAUCCCGAGACUACUUGGAUUGUACAUUGGAUGUGUUACAAACUGUUGAGAUAAUAUCUUUAGAAGGAUCAAGAUCGGAAUUGCUUUUUAUAAAGCUUCUUCUGGCUCAUUCCCCUUCUCUUAAGGAGUUCACCAUUAGACCAAGUAAAUAUUUUGAUGUUCAAAAAAGACUUGACAUUGCUAAGGAUGUUAAUGCAAUUCCAUCCAGCCUCACCAAAUGCAAAAAUGUUCUACUUGGAUCCUGAACCAUAAUCAUGUAAGAAUGUGUAUAAUUUCGUCAUUAUAAUUAAGUGUGUUCGAAUUGUCUUUCUUUUCUUUUUUAUACCCUUGGUUUGUUUGUCAUGGGGUGACUUUUUAUAGGUAUCUGCGUAACCUGUCUUACUUGAUUUUCGGUGUUGUGUGAUGUAAAUAGUUGUAAAAAGUGUUAUGCAUGUAGAAAGACGCUAUGAUCUGGGAUCUUCAAUGAAAGACCAUGCCUGUCAACAACAGUCCGAAGGGUUUAACCAAUAGCUUGAUGGAAUCCAUAGACAACUACUUCAUAAAGGAAGGAAACAUCAUGUUGCGUGCAAAGCUUUCCAUGGGAGAUGCCAAGAAGACUUGGAAUAUUCACUAAUGACUUGUGGAGAAUAUUCUCUUUCACUUCUAUACACACAAAUAACAUCUAUAUUAGCAAAAUUCUCCUUUCCAUUCCUUUCUAAUGACACUUUUAGGUUGUGUCUAACAUUCAAUUCCCUUUAUAGGCAUAGCCAUAUUAACGCUGAAUGUGAACGCAAAGAUAGCAGGUGAUGUUUGGUGGUAAACUUGAGAGGUCACAAGGUUCAUGGUUUAAAUCCACUGAAUCAAUCUCUUCUUGUUUGUCCACAUUAAACUCGGAUUUAAUCUUCAUGACACCCAAGUAACUUUAUCUGUCCGAGUGAAAAAAAAAACUUUCCAACUUGGUGGGGGACUAUUUGAAAUGUUUAAGAGAUAACAAGUUGGCUAUUUUUCUUGAUCCCACAUUGGUGGAGGAAGAGCCUUGAUCGGUGUUAUAAGGCUUCCUUGAUAUUAUGCUUUUAAAGGCUUCAAUGGAGAAUCGAGUUUAAGGGAUGAGCUAAGCCCAUAUGCGUGCUUAGAAUGAUCAUGGAUGUGAGUUCACGAAAUAACGCGAACAAGUAGCUCUUAUUUUUGGCAAGUUUGAGUCGAUCGGUUAGACCGAACCGGUCAUCGUGUUAACUAGCGUUGACUUCAUGGAUAAGCAGACAUAAUAUCGGGAAGCCUCCUAAAAGACUGGAUAACUCCAUGUUUGAAUCAUAUGAGAUACUGAGAUAUUAGAUACUGACAUCAUCAAAUUUGUUUUGAAUUGCCAUGUGUUGAAUCAUAUGAGAUACUGAGAUAUUGGAUACUGACAUCAUCAAAUUUUUGGGGGAUUUUUUUCAUGUUAGUAUAAAUAGGACCUCUCAUGUCCGGUUUAGCGCACACCUCGGAACACACAACCUUCUCUGCACUCCUCUCUUUCCUUCUGCGUACUUGCAACAUUAAUUUCCAGUUGUUCUAAAUUUUGAUUAAUAAACUUUGUGUUUAUCGGUUCUUCCAUAUCUG